AAACUAACAAGGAUUCCCCUAGUAACGGCGAGUGAAGCGGGAAGAGCUCAAAUUUGUAAUCUGGCACUUUCAGUGUCCGAGUUGUAAUCUCGAGAAGUGUUUUCCGCGCCGGACCGCAUACAAGUCUGUUGGAAUACAGCGUCAUAGUGGUGAGAACCCCGUAACUGAUGCGGAUGCCCGGUGCUUUGUGAUACACUUUCGAAGAGUCGAGUUGUUUGGGAAUGCAGCUCAAAUUUGGUGGUAAAUUCCAUCUAAAGCUAAAUAUUGGCGAGAGACCGAUAGCGAACAAGUACCGUGAGGGAAAGAUGAAAAGCACUUUGGAAAGAGAGUUAACAGUACGUGAAAUUGUUGGAAGGGAAACGCUUGAAGUCAGACUUGCUAUUUGGAAUUCAGCCGCAAGGUGUACUUUUCAAUUCGCAGGCCAGCAUCAGUUUUUGGGGGUGGAAAAGGGUAUUGAGAAGGUAGCAGUCUCGGCUGUGUUAUAGCUCUUUACUGGAUUCAUCUUUGGGGACUGAGGAACGCAGCACGCUUUUUGCAAGGCUUUCGAGCUUUUCGUGCUUAGGAUGCUGGUGGAAUGGCUUUAAACGAC
rnacentral:rRNA from 1 species